rnacentral:rRNA from 1 species
UACGGGGGGGGCAAGCGUUGUUCGGAAUUACUGGGCGUAAAGGGCUUGUAGGCGGCAAACUAAGUCAGACAUGAAAUCCCUCGGCUUAACCGGGGAACUGCGUCUGAUACUGGAUGGCUUGAGUUUGGGAGAGGGAUGCGGAAUUCCAGGUGUAGCGGUGAAAUGCGUAGAUAUCUGGAGGACCACCGGUGGCGAAGGCGUCAUCCUGGACCAACACUGACGUUGAGGAGCGAAAGCCAGGGGAGCAAACGGG